rnacentral:rRNA from 1 species
UACGUAGGGUGCAAGCGUUGUUCGGAAUUACUGGGCGUAAAGGGCUCGUAGGCGGCCAACUAAGUCAGACGUGAAAUCCCUCGGCUUAACCGGGGAACUGCGUCUGAUACUGGAUGGCUUGAAUCCGGGAGAGGGAUGCGGAAUUCCAGGUGUAGCGGUGAAAUGCGUAGAUAUCUGGAGGAACACCCGUGGCGAAGGCGGCAUCGUGGACCGGCAUUGACGCUGAGGAGCGAAAGCCAGGGGAGCAAACGGG